rnacentral:rRNA from 1 species
UCCAGGCUCAACCCUGCUUAGCUUGCCCACUGAAGCUAAGCAGGGUUGAGCCUGGUCAGUACCUGGAUGGGAGACCUCCUGAGAAAACUGGAUUGCUGUUGGAA